rnacentral:sRNA from 1 species
UUUUAGCCCCGAUAGUAGUGGAAAUCCUUGUGAGCCGGGGUUCGGCUCACAAGAUUGUAACGAAUAGCGGGACAACUG